AUUGAACGCUGGCGGCAUGCCUUACACAUGCAAGUCGAACGGUAACGGGCCUUCGGGUGCCGACGAGUGGCGAACGGGUGAGUAAUACAUCGGAACGUGCCCGAUCCUGGGGGAUAACGAGGCGAAAGCUUUGCUAAUAUCGCAUACGAUCUACGGAUGAAAGCAGGGGACCGCAAGGCCUUGCGCGGACGGAGCGGCCGAUGGCAGAUUAGGUAGUUGGUGGGAUAAAAGCUUACCAAGCCGACGAUCUGUAGCUGGUCUGAGAGGAUGAUCAGCCACACUGGGACUGAGACACGGCCCAGACUCCUACGGGAGGCAGCAGUGGGGAAUUUUGGACAAAGGGCGCAAGCCUGAUCCAGCCAUGCCGCGUGCAGGAUGAAGGCCUUCGGGUUGUAAACUGCUUUUGUACGGAACGAAAAGCCUUCUUUUAAUACAGGAGGGUCAUGACGGUACCGUAAGAAUAAGCACCGGCUAACUACGUG
rnacentral:rRNA from 1 species